rnacentral:rRNA from 1 species
UACAGAGGUCUCAAGCGUUGUUCGGAUUCAUUGGGCGUAAAGGGUGCGUAGGCGGCGCGGUAAGUCGGGUGUGAAAUCUCGGGGCUUAACUCCGAAACUGCAUUCGAUACUGCCGUGCUUGAGGACUGGAGAGGAGACUGGAAUUUACGGUGUAGCGGUGAAAUGCGUAGAUAUCGUAAGGAAGACCAGUGGCGAAGGCGGGUCUCUGGACAGUUCCUGACGCUGAGGCACGA